rnacentral:rRNA from 1 species
UACGUAGGGUGCGAGCGUUAAUCGGAAUUAUUGGGCCUAAAGCAUCCGUAGCCGGUUCUACGAGUCUUCCGUUAAAUCCACCUGCUUAACAGAUGGGCCGCGGAAGAUACUAUAGAGCUAGGAGGCGGGAGAGGCAAGCGGUACUCGAUGGGUAGGGGUAAAAUCCGUUGAUCCAUUGAAGACCACCAGUGGCGAAGGCGGCUUGCCAGAACGCGCUCGACGGUGAGGGAUGAAAGCUGGGGGAGCAAACCGG